rnacentral:rRNA from 1 species
GGAGAAAAGCAGGGGAUCGCAAGACCUUGCGCUCUUGGAGCGGCCGAUGCCUGAUUAGCUAGUUGGUGAGGUAAAGGCUUACCAAGGCGACGAUCAGUAGCUGGUCUGAGAGGACGACCAGCCACACUGGGACUGAGACACGGCCCAGACUCCUACGGGAGGCAGCAGUGGGGAAUUUUGGACAAUGGGGGAAACCCUGAUCCAGCCAUGCCGCGUGAGUGAAGAAGGCCUUCGGGUUGUAAAGCUCUUUCAGCCGGAACGAAACGGUCACGGCUAAUACCUGUGACUACUGACGGUACCGGAAGAAGAAGCACCGGCUAACUAGGUGCCAGCAGCCGCGGUAAUACGUAGGGUGCAAGCGUUAAUCGGAAUUACUGGGCGUAAAGCGUGCGCAGGCGGUUUUGUAAGUCAGAUGUGAAAUCCCCGGGCUUAACCUGGGAACUGCGUUUGAAACUACAAGGCUAG